GGUGUCUCUAGCUUAUUGGUAAAGUACUUGACUGUGGAUCAGGAGAACAGGGUUCGAUUCCCGGGGACACCC
rnacentral:tRNA from 1 species